rnacentral:rRNA from 1 species
UACGGGGGGGGGCAAGCGUUGUUCGGAAUUACUGGGCGUAAAGGGUUUGUAGGCGGCCAUGUAAGUCAGGUGUGAAAUCCCUCGGCUCAACCGAGGAACGGCGCUUGAUACUGCAUGGCUUGAGGGAGACAGGGGUAAGCGGAACUGAUGGUGGAGCGGUGAAAUGCGUUGAUAUCAUCAGGAACACCGGUGGCGAAAGCGGCUUACUGGGUCUCUUCUGACGCUGAGGAACGAAAGCUAGGGUAGCGAACGGG